rnacentral:lncRNA from 1 species
CCUUUGUUAAUGACAAAUGCUCAACAUUGUCACUGAGUUGAAGAGUGUGAGAUGAUGUUGUUAGAAAUUGCACAAGAUGUUCUAGAAUCAAUACUGAAAUCCACCUUGUAAUAUCUGAGAUGAAGAAAUUAAUUUUCACUCACAAAUCAAGCAACUGUCCAUCUCCUACAGCUUUCAGAAUUUUUUUAUUAUUUUAAAAGGAUGUUUGUCCAGACAUAAGGAAAUAUAGACGUUCAAAUGAAAAAAGCUAGUUUUUGUUUUUUUGUGUCUUUGUUUUGAGACAGAGUCUCGCUCUUUCGCCCAGGCUGGAGUGCAGUGGCGCGAUCUCUGCUCACUGCAAGCUCCGCCUCCCGGGUUCACGCCAUUCUCCUGCCUCAGCCUCCCAAGUAGCUGGGAUUACAGGUGCCCGCCACCACGCCCGGCUAAUUUUUUGUAUUUUCAGUAGAGACGGGAUUUCACCGUGUUAGCCAGGAUGGUCUCGAUCUCCUGACCUCGUGAUCCGCCUGCCUCGGCCUCCCAAAGUGCUGGGAUUACAGGCGUGAGCCACCGCACCCGGCCGAAAAAAGCUAGUUUUAAAUGGCCAAAUCAGUCUCAAGUUUUAAUUAACCUUUUAGCAAUUAUCUUAGAAAAUCUUUAAGAUUUUAACAUUCCUUGUAAUUUGGAGUUUUUAAGAGCUCAUUUAGAGGCCCCGCUGUCUCAGGCAGCAGUGAAAUGUGUUGUUUAGCAGGUGAUUUGAAGGCUGGGUGGCCAGCAUGCACCCUGGUGUUGGUCCCAUGUCCAUGGCUUAAUAGCUGUGUCCAUCAUUUUUGUCAGGCCUGAUGAUUACUCCAUGAUCACCACAAAAUGUUAACUGGUCUCCUGUGUCUCCACACCUCUUAGGCAUUAAAAAAAGAAGGAUUGUUUAUUUUUAGAAUGAAUAAGUCUGGCUAGCCUGAUUUCUAGUUGACAGUGAUAUUGUUUUGUCACAAUGAAUACCUCAACAGGAAUUCCAAAUCCUAGAACUUGCUUUGGACUCAACACAUCUAACCACUCUUCAGCUGAUAUCCACUUGCUGACAAAUGAAUCUCUCUGGCCCCUGGACUGUGCCCUGAAACACAGCUUAAAACAUGAGGGAACUGAGAGUCCAGCACCAAUGAAUGUGACACACAGAGGCCCAAGUCUUGGAAGAGGAAGCAGAAAUCAAAACUGCUCCAGAGCACAUCUGGAAUAAACAAGCAAAGCUCAUCUUCCUUUAUUUUGUGUUUUGUAACACUGAGCAAUUUGAUUAAAACAAAUCAGCAGGACAAAAAAUGAAGUUGCUUUUCUGUGGGGAGACAAAAUCAAUGAGAAGAAUCAAGGUUGAGUAAAUAUCUUAUGGAUACUCAGGGGAGAUAAUAUUCCAAUUUCCAGAAUUUAAAGGAAAAUUUUUAGAAUUAGUUGUUUUCUAAACAUAAAGUUACUUUUAUUUUGUACCUUAAAUGACAUUGAAAGUAUGGGGCACAUGUAAGAGUAAAUAGUUCACACCUAAGAAGGUCCCAAAAGUGCUUAUAAUAUGUUUUUUAC